rnacentral:rRNA from 1 species
AACGAACGCUGGCGGCAUGCCUAACACAUGCAAGUCGAACGAUCCCUUCGGGGAUAGUGGCGCACGGGUGCGUAACGCGUGGGAACCUGCCCUUAGGUUCGGAAUAACUCAGAGAAAUUUGAGCUAAUACCGGAUAAUGUCUUCGGACCAAAGAUUUAUCGCCUUUGGAUGGGCCCGCGUUGUAUUAGCUAGUUGGUGGGGUAAAGGCCUACCAAGGCGACGAUCCAUAGCUGGUCUGAGAGGAUGAUCAGCCACACUGGGACUGAGACACGGCCCAGACUCCUACGGGAGGCAGCAGUGGGGAAUAUUGGAAAAUGGGCGAAGGCCUGAUCCAGCCAUGCCGCGUGAGUGAUGAAGGCCUUAGAGUUGUAAAGCUCUUUUACCCGGGAUGAUAAUGACAGUACCGGGAGAAUAAGCCCCGGCUAACUCCGUG